rnacentral:lncRNA from 1 species
CCUGGCAGGACUGCAGAAUUCCCCCUUCCCUGGCACAAUUGGCUCUGGGAACUAUUUCCUUCUCCGUGCUGUGAGGUAGACAGAAUAGGCAGAAGUUUCGGGUUUCUUUGGGUGAUGGUUGGGCAAAAGGGAUUUGGGUCCCCAACAAAAGGACACAGGAUUUAAGCUCAGGGGUUUGUAUCUCACACCAGAGAAAGCCUUUGGCUAUUACAGGGAAACUGGUGACUACAGCUGUAUCUCAGGAGCCACCAGGAUUUGCAUAGCAACAACAGCAGUCGCCAGCUACCGCAUCACAGCCCCAGUUGCUAAUGGAAGGGAGCACCACAGCUCAAAAACUUUCAAAGAAAGAAGCUCAUCUCUGCCAGUUCUGGAGCUGUGAAGCCCAGUUCCAAGAAGCCAGCGUUCGCCCGGAAUCUGCCCGUGCAUCGUGUCCUGGGGGAGAUGUCACACGACCAGAGCUCAGGCACAGACAGACAGCAUCUUCAAAGCAACAACUUAAAACUGUAGGAAGAAAUCCUAACUCUGGAAGACAUUCUAAUACCAAAAGGAGAAAUAAAGCUACUGACCUGGGGGAAGACAUGGAGGUGAUGCACGCUGAGGCUCUGGACUCCUGGAUGCCUUUAAAUUCAAGUAGACCUUUGAUGUGUCCAUUGCAGAUGGGAGACGUGACAGUGAACCUGUGAGCUGGGACAAACUCCAAGUUGUGUGAGGCAGGGCCUGUUAAGAAAACAAAACAAAAAACAAAGCAGCUUGAGAGACAGCUGGCAUCGUGGUCCUACCUAGCCUUUAAAGACUGAACCACUUCUCCAGCCUGCGGCGGGUUUUCAGUCUUUUCUCUGAAGUGCUUCAGAACAGUUGGCGAACCGUUUCUGUUGAGCAUAUCCACACUUGUGUUCCCUAAGUCGGAGAUAAAAACAAACACUGGUGGUAUUUACGAGCAAACCCACCGCCCCUAUUUCAG